CAACCUGCCGUCUACUCUUGGACAGCCUUCUGAAAGGAAGAUUAAUACAAGAUGGCAUCAUGAGUCCGCAUGUUCACAUGAUUAAAGGUAUUCCGGUAGACGAUGGGGAUGCGUUCCAUUAGAUAGUUGGCGGGGUAACGGCCCACCAAGUCUACGAUGGAUAGGGGUUCUGAGAGGAAGGUCCCCCACAUUGGAACUGAGACACGGUCCAAACUCCUACGGGAGGCAGCAGUGAGGAAUAUUGGUCAAUGGACGAGAGUCUGAACCAGCCAAGUAGCGUGAAGGAUGACUGCCCUAUGGGUUGUAAACUUCUUUUAUAAGGGAAUAAAGUGAGGGACGUGUCCCUUUUUGUAUGUAUCUUAUGAAUAAGGAUCGGCUAACUCCGUGCCAGCAGCCGCGGUAAUACGGAGGAUCCAAGCGUUAUCCGGAUUUAUUGGGUUUAAAGGGAGCGUAGGUUGACAUAUAAGUCAGCUGUGAAAGUUUACGGCUCAACCGUGAAAUUGCAGUUGAUACUGUAUGUCUUGAGUGUACAAGAGGUGGGCGGAAUUCGUGGUGUAGCGGUGUAAUGCUUAGAUAUCACGAAGAACUCCGAUUG
rnacentral:rRNA from 1 species